UGCUGUUUUCUGCCUUUCACCAAACAUUUGGGCUUCUGGGUGUCGCUUUAGGCAGAGCUUUCAACAGACAAACCCACAGUGUGAGAAGAGGCUGGAUUCAAGUGUGACUUCAAAAUGUCAGUGCUGCCCAUCUGCAGGAUUUAAAGAGGAAAUGAAUGGAGAACAUCAAGUCCCCAAUCUUUAGGAAAUUCUGGCCCAGGAUCUUAUUCAGUACAUGAACUUGCUGUGAGCUGCACCAGGGCCUACCAGCUCCUCUCUGCUGGAGAUGGGGAAGGAGAUUGGGAGCUGUAGGAACAGAUUCAGGGGACAGAAGCCCACAGAGAUCUUCCCCAGAAGAUGAGUGGAGCAGAUCAGAGAUGGGACUGAAGGAAUUGUCACCACCCACAGCUUUCUCCUGCUCUGCACAGUGAAUGCACAGGUGCUUUUGGAAGUGUUGGCCAGCAGCUCACCAUGACUGGCACCCCACAGCAGAACACCAGGGUCAAACUCUGCCUAAGCAGGUGACAGAGCAGGUGGAUUGUGCUUGGAGGCUGCAGACUGCACACAUGAGCCAGG